GGAGAAAUACAGCUGAGCACAGUCUGAGAAAUGGGCUUCAAAAACUACUUGGAGCCAGAGUUGCGGUGAAAGAAAGAUUUUAUCUGUGUGUUUAAUGGUGGGAACACAAAGACUCAGAUAAAGUG